UUACUUUUUUUCCCCUUCAGAGUUUGUGUCAGAAACUAACUUAGUAUUAUUUGGCUCUCAAUCACGUUUUCCAUCCGAUAUCUGGGAAAAAAAAUAAUUAAAAGGAAAUCACAAUACAAUCUUGAAUUUGGAAAUAUGUAAGCGACUUUGCUUAAAAUAAUCACCGGAUUUUUGUGUAAUAAUUACUAGUAUGAUUUAAUAUGGCAAUUAAUCGAUCAUGGAAAUUGUACAAAAGAAAUACAACUUACGAAAUGAAGUAAAACCAUAAGAAAUAUGGAAACAAGACGAAACGUGCAUAUGGAACAAGUGGCAAAAUCAAUGGGUCAGAAGUGCGUUCAAAGGCGGGGGGAUGCGCCGAAACGGUGACGUUUACGUGUAGUUGACAGAGUAGAGUGAACUGGGUUUGAUGUUGAGAGAAUUAAUAAGAGAGC
rnacentral:lncRNA from 1 species